UCUUGUUUGCAGGUUUCCUGUCAGUCCGUCUGAUGCUGGAGUCGGAGUCGCGUCUCUGUGGAUAAUAUCAUCGAUCUGUUCUUCUGAUUGCAUCGAUAUGAAGGCGCUAAUAGGGCUGCUGCUGUUGGUCUUUGGUCACAAUGUGUCCUCGGUGAUUCACUCUCUGCAGUUUUUCCAAACGGCGUCGUCUGGACUCUCAACCUUCCCAGAGUAUGUGACUGUUCUGAUGGUGGAUGAGGUUCAGGUUGAGUACUAUGACAGCAACACCCGGAGAAUCAUAACCAAACAGGACUGGAUUGACCAGUUCUACAGAGAUCCACCAGGGGAACUGGAGAUUGCAACUGAAAGGAGAAAGGGUAUCCAGCAGGUCUACAAAGUCAACCUUGGGACUCUGAAGAAGCGCUUUAACCAGACAGGAGGUGCCCACGUAUAUCAGACGAUGGAUGGUUGUGAGUGGGAUGAUGAGGAUGGUACUACUGAGGGUUAUGACCAGCAUGGUUAUGAUGGAGAGGACUUCCUAGCGUGGGACCUGAAGACCCUGACCUGGGUCGCUCCAGUGCAUCAGGCUCUCACCACCAAACGCAGAUGGGAACAGAAUAGAGCUUUAAUGGAACAGUACAAGUACUACUACACCAAGGAGUGUGUUGAUUGGCUGAAGAAGUUCCUGGCCUACGGGAAGAGCACUCUGCAGAGAACAGAGCGUCCGCGGGUGUCUCUGCUCCAGAGGAGCCCCUCCUCCCCAGUGGUGUGCCAUGCUACAGGCUUCUACCCUAACAGGGUGGUGGUGUUCUGGAGGAGAGACGGCCAGGAGCUCCAUGAGCAGGUGGACCCCGGGGAGGUCCUCCCCAACCACGACGGGACCUUCCAGGUCAGCGUGGACCUGGACCUCACGGCCGUCCCACAGGAGGACUGGGAGCGGUACGAGUGUGUGGUGCAGCUGAAAGGCAUCGAGGACAUCUCCACCCCCCUGGACCCCGCCCUCAUCAGGACCAACGGGGGAAAGACUGAUGUUGGAGGGGAUGGAGGGGACAAGAGUCACAUCCUUGCUUUCAUCCUCACUGGUGUUGCUGUUCUUGCUGUUGUUGCUGCUGCUGUUGUUGGAGUCUUUCUGUACCGGAAGAGGAAUAAUUACGAAAAAGCGUCACAAACCAGUUGAUUCUGACACCAGCUCUGAGAAGACUGAGGUGCAGAAACUGGCUCCUGAGUACCAACCUCUGUCCACAGUUCAAAGUUAAAUCAUGAAGAGGCUUCUCACGUUCAGCUUCCUAAACCAGGAUGGAGUGCAUCGCUGUUCAUUUAUAAUCCUUACAAUCAGGCUGUGGUCUUCAGCUAACUGCAGAGUCUGCAUUUGCUAAAUUACAAUAUUCAUAUUUAACUCUAUUUUGAUUACAAUCAUCGAUCUGUAAGAAGUGUAAAUCAAUUACAUAUCUCUAUUUGUGAUGGAUUUGAUUAACUCUGCCGCUUAACGUUAUAACCUUUUAAUGAUCUUAUAUUGUUUAGUAAUAUUUAAGUUUCAAAUAAUGUUCAAAGAUUCUGAAUCAAGAUUUUGGACAGUGAGAUUCGGUUGAGUUUCAAUACAAUAAUUGAUUAAUUUAAUGUGUUUCCUCAAAAUAUAUUAUUUGAGAGUUCUGCUAGCUAGAGAAUUGCAUUGCUGCAUAGUCUACCACAAUCGUGCUAGGCUGCUUUAGCCUUGAUUCUCUUUGCUGUAUUUUCUGCGUUCUUUGGGGAAUUGGAUGGUAUAUACUUGGGUUAUUAUGUCAAUAAAAUACUUAAAAAUCG